rnacentral:rRNA from 1 species
GUGAGGAAUAUUGCACAAUGGGCGAAAGCCUGAUGCAGCAACGCCGCGUGGAGGAUGACGCAUUUCGGUGUGUAAACUCCUUUUAUGAGUCAAGAAAAUGACGGUAGCUCAUGAAUAAGCACCGGCUAACUCCGUGCCAGCAGCCGCGGUAAUACGGAGGGUGCAAGCGUUACUCGGAAUCACUGGGCGUAAAGGACGCGUAGGCCGUCUAGCAAGUCAGAUGUGAAAUCCAAUGGCUUAACCAUUGAACUGCAUUUGAAACUGCUAGACUAGAGUAUGGGAGGGGGAGAUGGAAUUAGUGGUGUAGGGGUAAAAUCCGUAGAUAUCACUAGGAAUACCGAAAGCGAAGGCGAUCUCCUGGAACAUUACUGACGCUGAGGCGUGAAAGCGUGGGGAGCAAACAGGAUUAGAUACCCGAGUAGUCC